ACAGUUAGUUGACAGACAGUCCAAUUCGCUGCCCUUGGUCGUCUGGACAGGGGUGAAGGGACGAGUUCUUCCAAUCCGCAAUUCAAAAAAUGUCGAGGUUCUCGAAUCUCUGUUUAACGGACAUUCGUUUGUCCACUGCUUUUACCGAGAGCCUCCACUGUACAGGCGAAUGAAGGUACACGCUUUAAGAAAAAUUAGGGUACUAUCUUAAGAAAGCAGACGUUCUGACAAGCAGAGAAGGGGCAGCUUUCCUUUUUCUUUUUCUUUUUACUUCAGCAAUGCUGCACUAGUCAUCUUGUGCUAAGGUGUAGAUUAUUCAAUAAUCCAGGAUAGGACGCUUAAAAUAUCAGUAAUAUAUAUAAAAAUGGAGUUACUAAGUCUGGAGUACACACGCGAGACAGAUCUCUGCCUUGUUCGAGAAUCCGCCACCCUAAUUCAGCAAUCGCACUUAUACAGACAGUCUGAGCAUUGUUGAGGUUAUGGAGAGAGCAUUUUAAUAUCACUAGAGCAGGCUUGCAGGGGGCCUUUGUUGUUUAAUAACUGCAGACGAACAGGAUGGUAGGUUACACUAGAGCCGAUCAUCCCAUGACACAGAAGGCCUGCUUCUUUUGAGUCAUGGUUGCAAUAUUGGUUGCAAUCAUGGUUGCACUCCCAGAGCAUAUAGCACAGGGCAGCUUGUUUCUCCGACAUUUCCUCUUGGCAUCAGCGAGGACACCUAAACCCUUUGAUGACAUUUGACGAGUUGUGCGUGUGUAUAAAGAAACAUAGUAGAAGCCUACAGCCAGGGAACCAGCGGAGACAAAGGAGGCACACAAAGUACACAGACGCAGCGCUGAAUACUUUGUGUGCCUCCUUUGUCUCCUUCGGUUCCCGCCCUGUAUAGGCUUCUACUAUGUUCAACCAACAAGCACAACUAGUCACUCUGCUAUGUAUAGAAAGUUUAGUGACGCUAGAUAUCGAUGUCCAAGCAUCCUAGGUGUCCUCAGCUUGUCAGCUGUUCGAUAUGUACGCUCUGUCGUCGUGAACUGCAAUGCAUAUGGCCUGUGCCAUCAGUCGUUGAAACUUUGUGGAAAACUCGUGUGGUAUUUGUACCAUGUUUCGUUAGUCGCUGUAUAGGGUGAAACGUGAAGUCCACUGUGUGCAAUUCCCACCGUGCAGUGACUCAUUCGUUCACAGUACGAGAAACACGAUAGAAUGCUUCUAGGCGUAAAAUCAUUGUGUUGCGUUUUGUGGUUUUCUUCUACCGCCAUAUAAAUUCAUUAUAGAAAUGUAGAAAUGUAGAAUCUUUAACGCAUUCCGGUAGCUUAUAAUGUUGAAAGCGACUCCAUUCUUUAGUGAAAUGCAUCAACGCAAUGAAAGACCGAAAUUGGCAAGGAUAUUUCACGAUUUUGUCGGCGAUUUCCGGGGCAUGCAGUGGUAUGCGACCUAAUUGUUUUACGCUGACUGUUCUGGUUGUAUUUAUGUUCAUUAUAUGCAAGUCUAUAUAACAAUUAGACUUCUCGUACUAGUUCCCUUCACUAAGGUGAUUCUGAGUCAGGCCCCCCUACAACGUCACUAUAGAACUCCAAAAACCGGUAAUCGUAUAGAUGCACCAUAUACGUAUAUUUGCCGCUUAUUCGCCCAGUAAUGAGUGUAUCUGCUUCAAUUAUUCAGGCCGGUGCAUGUACCAUAUUGAAGUUAUAUGCGGUGUACCACAUUUGUCAUGUUCGGUGAUUGACAACGAGAGUCCGAAUUUUCCAAUAUCGCGUGUCGAGAUAUGAAAAUUCAAAGGCUCGGCCCAACCUCUGUUCAGUCUUUGGAUGUCCCUGUAUAGCUUCCGCAUUCAAGGAACGUGGUUGUUAUCGAGUCCAGUUGAUUCUGCAGAUUUGCUCGUUGUGGAACGAAACUUGACCGGAAGCGGAGCCAGAGCUUCGCCCAUAACGCCCGCCGGAAGACGCCAGGGUUGAAGACAGCGUCAGGACUUCGGAAACACAGGGUAUUGCAUCUCCUUCCCUGCUGAGGCAUCAAGCCUUGGAAGGAAGCCCUCCCCUUCGUGGCACUACCACCAGGAAACACUUGGAUUGGAACGAGUGUUGGACCUUUCUUCUCUGCCCGAGAAGACGACGAGCGCAGCAAGGAUAGUUAUAAUGCGAGCUCCCUCGAGCCCAGGGAGAGGAGAGAGAAGGAGAGACGGAAUAAAUUUCGGCGGUUGCGCUUC
rnacentral:lncRNA from 1 species